GGAACAGGUGGAUUUGAUCCAAGAUUUAAGAUUUGAAACUACAACAACUAGAAUUAAAGCUACCCCUGAUGGCGAAUUUCUCAUUGCUUCAGGUAUUUACUCUCUACAAGUUAAAAGUAUAUGAAUUAAGAGAUUUAUCGUUGAAGUUUGAAAGGCAUCUGGUAUCGGAGAUUAUCAAUUUCCAGGUGCUGAGUGAUGAUUAUUAUUCAAACCUUGCAUUCCUUUGUGGUGAUGGUCUUUGGUUUGUAGGUAUGCUAAUCUAUAAUCUAUCUAUCUAUCUAUCUAUCUAUCUUU